CAGAGGUCCCGAGCGUUGUUCGGAUUCACUGGGCGUAAAGGGUGCGCAGGUGGGUUGGCAAGUUUGAUGUGAAAGCCCCGGGCUUAACCCGGGAAUGGCAUUGAAUACUGUUGAUCUGGAGGAUCGGAGGGGGACGUGGAAUUCUUGGUGUAGCAGUGAAAUAGCGUAGAUAUCAAGAGGAACACCAGUGGCGAAGGCGAGUCCCUCGGACGAUACCUGACACUGAGGCACGAAAGACUAGGGGAGGCAAACAGGAUUAGAUACCCUGGUAGUCCUAGCUGUAAACGGUGCGCAUUUGCUGUAAACGGAAUCGACCCCGUUUGUGGCGAAGCUAACGCGAUAAAUGCGCCGCCUGGGAAGUACGGUCGCAAGAUUA
rnacentral:rRNA from 1 species